GGUUGAUCCUGCCAGUAGUCAUAUGCUUGUCUCAAAGAUUAAGCCAUGCACGUCUAAGUACGAACUUUUGUAUAGUGAAACUGCGAAUGGCUCAUUACAUCGGUCAUAAUUUACUGGACGAGUUAUUCUUACUUGGAUAACUGUGCCAAUUGUAGAGCUAAUACAUGCGAGAAACCGCUCCUUCGGGAGAGGUGCUUUUAUUAGAUCAAACGCCAAUGGCACUCUGUGCCCGCUUCUGGCGAAUCGUGAUAACUCUAGCAUAUCGCAUGGCUUCACGCCGGCGAAACGUCCUUCAAGUGACUGCCUUAUCAGCUGUCGAUGGUAGUGUAUUGGACUACCAUGGCUUUAACGGGUAACGGGGAAUUGGGGUUCGAUUCCGGAGAGGGAGCCUGAGAAACGGCUACCACAUCUAAGGAAGGCAGCAGGCACGCAAAUUACCCAUUCCCGAUUCGGGGAGGUAGUGACGAAAAAUAACGAUACGUGGUACUCAUUCGAGGACCCGUAAUUGGAAUGAGUACAAUUUAAAUCCUUUAACGAGGAUCUAUUGGAGGGCAAGUCUGGUGCCAGCAGCCGCGGUAAUUCCAGCUCCAAUAGCGUAUAUUAAAGUUGUUGCAGUUAAAAAGCUCGUAGUUGGAUCUUGGAUACGGGUAUCGCGGUCUGAGCAGCGUCUCUGUACUGCGAUCGCCCUGUCUGUUUUUUCGGCAGCUCCUUUGUGCCCUUAACUGGGUGCAUCGGUGCACCGGAGCGUUUACUUUGAAAAAAUUAGAGUGUUCAAAGCAGACACGUUCGUCCGCAUAAUUUUGCAUGGAAUAAUGGAAUAGGAGUUGGACUCUGUUUCGUUGGUGUUAUGAGUCUAACUAAUGAUUGACAGGGACAGACGGGGGCAUCGGUACCUCGUAGGGAGAGGUGAAAUUCUUUGAUCUACGGGAGACCAACUACUGCGAAAGCAUUUGCCAAGAAUGUUUUCAUUAAUCAGGAACGAAAGUCGGAGGUUCGAAGGCGAUCAGAUACCGCCCUAGUUCCGACCAUAAACGAUGUCAACUAGCGAUCUGCCGGCGUUAAUUAUAAGACUCGGCAGGAAGCUUACGGGAAACCAAAGUCGGAUUCCGGGGAAAGUAUGGUUGCAAUAUCGAAAUUUAAAGGAAUUGACGGAAGGGCACCACCAGGAGUGGAGCCUGCGGCUUAAUUUGACUCAACACGGGAAACCUCACCAGGCCCAGACACGGGAAGGAUUGACAGAUUGAGAGCUCUUUCUUGAUUUCGUGGGUGGUGGUGCAUGGCCGUUCUUAGUUGGUGGAGCGAUUUGUCUGGUUAAUUCCGAUAACGAACGAGACUCAGUCCUACUAUUUAGA
rnacentral:rRNA from 1 species